AUCUAGCUGACGAGUUCCAAAUAGGAUGGGAUGCACGUCCUACAU
rnacentral:hammerhead_ribozyme from 1 species